AUUGAACGCUGGCGGCGUGCCUAAUACAUGCAAGUCGAACGAAGAUCUAGCUUGCUAGAUCUUAGUGGCGAACGGGUGAGUAAUACAUAAAUAAUCUGCCCAUAUGACUGGGAUAACUAUUGGAAACGAUAGCUAAUACCGGAUAGGUUGAUUGGAGGCAUCUCUGAUUAAUUAAAGUAGGAUUUCUACACAAAUGGAUGAGUUUAUGGCGCAUUAGUUAGUUGGUGGGGUAACGGCCUACCAAGACGAUGAUGCGUAGCCGACCUGAGAGGGUGACCGGCCACACUGGGACUGAGACACGGCCCAGACUCCUACGGGAGGCAGCAGUAGGGAAUUUUCGGCAAUGGGCGCAAGCCUGACCGAGCAACGCCGCGUGAGUGAUUAAGGCCUUCGGGUUGUAAAGCUCUGUUGUAAGGGAAGAACAUUCAGGAUAGGAAAUGAUCUUGAACUGACGGUACCUUACCAGAAAGCCACGGCUAACUACGUGCCAGCCGCCGCGGUAA
rnacentral:rRNA from 1 species